rnacentral:rRNA from 1 species
GAUGAACGCUGGCGGCGUGCCUAAUACAUGCAAGUCGAGCGAACGGACGAGAAGCUUGCUUCUCUGAUGUUAGCGGCGGACGGGUGAGUAACACGUGGAUAACCUACCUAUAAGACUGGGAUAACUUCGGGAAACCGGAGCUAAUACCGGAUAAUAUUUUGAACCGCAUGGUUCAAAAGUGAAAGACGGUCUUGCUGUCACUUAUAGAUGGAUCCGCGCUGCAUUAGCUAGUUGGUAAGGUAACGGCUUACCAAGGCAACGAUGCAUAGCCGACCUGAGAGGGUGAUCGGCCACACGGGAACUGAGACACGGUCCUGACGCCUACGGGAGGCAGCAGUAGGGAAUCUUCCGCAAUGGGCGAAAGCCUGACGGAGCAACGCCGCGUGAGUGAUGAAGGUCUUCGGAUCGUAAAACUCUGUUAUUAGGGAAGAACAUAUGUGUAAGUAACUGUGCACAUCUUGACGGUACCUAAUCAGAAAGCCACGGCUAACUACGUG